GGGUUGUGAGGUUAAGCGACUAAGCGUACACGGUGGAUGCCCUGGCAGUCAGAGGCGAUGAAGGACGUGCUAAUCUGCGAUAAGCGUCGGUAAGGUGAUAUGAACCGUUAUAACCGGCGAUUUCCGAAUGGGGAAACCCAGUGUGAUUCGUCACACUAUCAUUAACUGAAUCCAUAGGUUAAUGAGGCGAACCGGGGGAACUGAAACAUCUAAGUACCCCGAGGAAAAGAAAUCAACCGAGAUUCCCCCAGUAGCGGCGAGCGAACGGGGAGGAGCCCAGAGCCUGAAUCAGUGUGUGUGUUAGUGGAAGCGUCUGGAAAGGCGCGCGAUACAGGGUGACAGCCCCGUACACAAAAAUGCACAUACUGUGAGCUCGAUGAGUAGGGCGGGACACGUGGUAUCCUGUCUGAAUAUGGGGGGACCAUCCUCCAAGGCUAAAUACUCCUGACUGACCGAUAGUGAACCAGUACCGUGAGGGAAAGGCGAAAAGAACCCCGGCGAGGGGAGUGAAAAAGAACCUGAAACCGUGUACGUACAAGCAGUGGGAGCACGCUUCGGCGUGUGACUGCGUACCUUUUGUAUAAUGGGUCAGCGACUUAUAUUCUGUAGCAAGGUUAACCGAAUAGGGGAGCCGAAGGGAAACCGAGUCUUAACUGGGCGUUAAGUUGCAGGGUAUAGACCCGAAACCCGGUGAUCUAGCCAUGGGCAGGUUGAAGGUUGGGUAACACUAACUGGAGGACCGAACCGACUAAUGUUGAAAAAUUAGCGGAUGACUUGUGGCUGGGGGUGAAAGGCCAAUCAAACCGGGAGAUAGCUGGUUCUCCCCGAAAGCUAUUUAGGUAGCGCCUCGUGAAUUCAUCUCCGGGGGUAGAGCACUGUUUCGGCAAGGGGGUCAUCCCGACUUACCAACCCGAUGCAAACUGCGAAUACCGGAGAAUGUUAUCACGGGAGACACACGGCGGGUGCUAACGUCCGUCGUGAAGAGGGAAACAACCCAGACCGCCAGCUAAGGUCCCAAAGUCAUGGUUAAGUGGGAAACGAUGUGGGAAGGCCCAGACAGCCAGGAUGUUGGCUUAGAAGCAGCCAUCAUUUAAAGAAAGCGUAAUAGCUCACUGGUCGAGUCGGCCUGCGCGGAAGAUGUAACGGGGCUAAACCAUGCACCGAAGCUGCGGCAGCGACACUAUGUGUUGUUGGGUAGGGGAGCGUUCUGUAAGCCUGUGAAGGUGUACUGUGAGGUAUGCUGGAGGUAUCAGAAGUGCGAAUGCUGACAUAAGUAACGAUAAAGCGGGUGAAAAGCCCGCUCGCCGGAAGACCAAGGGUUCCUGUCCAACGUUAAUCGGGGCAGGGUGAGUCGACCCCUAAGGCGAGGCCGAAAGGCGUAGUCGAUGGGAAACAGGUUAAUAUUCCUGUACUUGGUGUUACUGCGAAGGGGGGACGGAGAAGGCUAUGUUGGCCGGGCGACGGUUGUCCCGGUUUAAGCGUGUAGGCUGGUUUUCCAGGCAAAUCCGGAAAAUCAAGGCUGAGGCGUGAUGACGAGGCACUACGGUGCUGAAGCAACAAAUGCCCUGCUUCCAGGAAAAGCCUCUAAGCAUCAGGUAACAUCAAAUCGUACCCCAAACCGACACAGGUGGUCAGGUAGAGAAUACCAAGGCGCUUGAGAGAACUCGGGUGAAGGAACUAGGCAAAAUGGUGCCGUAACUUCGGGAGAAGGCACGCUGAUAUGUAGGUGAAGCGACUUGCUCGUGGAGCUGAAAUCAGUCGAAGAUACCAGCUGGCUGCAACUGUUUAUUAAAAACACAGCACUGUGCAAACACGAAAGUGGACGUAUACGGUGUGACGCCUGCCCGGUGCCGGAAGGUUAAUUGAUGGGGUUAGCGGUAACGCGAAGCUCUUGAUCGAAGCCCCGGUAAACGGCGGCCGUAACUAUAACGGUCCUAAGGUAGCGAAAUUCCUUGUCGGGUAAGUUCCGACCUGCACGAAUGGCGUAAUGAUGGCCAGGCUGUCUCCACCCGAGACUCAGUGAAAUUGAACUCGCUGUGAAGAUGCAGUGUACCCGCGGCAAGACGGAAAGACCCCGUGAACCUUUACUAUAGCUUGACACUGAACAUUGAGCCUUGAUGUGUAGGAUAGGUGGGAGGCUUUGAAGUGUGGACGCCAGUCUGCAUGGAGCCGACCUUGAAAUACCACCCUUUAAUGUUUGAUGUUCUAACGUUGGCCCCUAAUCGGGGUUGCGGACAGUGUCUGGUGGGUAGUUUGACUGGGGCGGUCUCCUCCUAAAGAGUAACGGAGGAGCACGAAGGUUGGCUAAUCCUGGUCGGACAUCAGGAGGUUAGUGCAAUGGCAUAAGCCAGCUUGACUGCGAGCGUGACGGCGCGAGCAGGUGCGAAAGCAGGUCAUAGUGAUCCGGUGGUUCUGAAUGGAAGGGCCAUCGCUCAACGGAUAAAAGGUACUCCGGGGAUAACAGGCUGAUACCGCCCAAGAGUUCAUAUCGACGGCGGUGUUUGGCACCUCGAUGUCGGCUCAUCACAUCCUGGGGCUGAAGUAGGUCCCAAGGGUAUGGCUGUUCGCCAUUUAAAGUGGUACGCGAGCUGGGUUUAGAACGUCGUGAGACAGUUCGGUCCCUAUCUGCCGUGGGCGCUGGAGAACUGAGGGGGGCUGCUCCUAGUACGAGAGGACCGGAGUGGACGCAUCACUGGUGUUCGGGUUGUCAUGCCAAUGGCACUGCCCGGUAGCUAAAUGCGGAAGAGAUAAGUGCUGAAAGCAUCUAAGCACGAAACUUGCCCCGAGAUGAGUUCUCCCUGACUCCUUGAGAGUCCUGAAGGAACGUUGAAGACGACGACGUUGAUAGGCCGGGUGUGUAAGCGCAGCGAUGCGUUGAGCUAACCGGUACUAAUGAACCGUGAGGCUUAACCUUACAACGCCGAAG
rnacentral:rRNA from 1 species